GUGCCAGCAGCCGCGGUAAGACGGAGGAUGCAAGCGUUAUCCGGAAUGAUUGGGCGUAUUCCGUCUGUAGGUGGUUUAUUAAGUCUGCUGUUAAAGCACAGGGCUCAACCCUGUAGAGGCGGUAGAAACUGGUAGGCUUGAGUAUGGUAGGGGUAGAGGGAAUUCCCGAUGUAGUGGUGAAAUGCGUUGAUAUCGGGAAGAACACCAAAGGCGAAAGCACUCUGCUGGGCCAAUACUGACACUGAGAGACGAAAGCUAGGGGAGCAAAUGGGAUUAGAUACCCCAGUAGUCC
rnacentral:rRNA from 1 species